rnacentral:rRNA from 1 species
AUGAACGCUGGCGGCGUGCCUAACACAUGCAAGUCGAACGUUAGAGCUUAGCAAUAGGCUCAAAAGUGGCGAACGGGUGAGUAACACGUAGGUAACCUGCCGCGCAGAGGGGGAUAACGACUGGAAACGGUCGCUAAUACCGCAUGGUACUGUUUUGGGGGGACCCUGAACAGUUAAAACCUUGGUGCUGCGCGAGGGGCCUGCGUCCGAUUAGCUAGUUGGUGAGGUAAUGGCUCACCAAGGCGAUGAUCGGUAGCUGGUCUGAGAGGAUGAUCAGUCACACGGGAACUGAGACACGGUCCCGACUCCUACGGGGGGCAGCAGUGAGGAAUAUUGCACAAUGGACGCAAGUCUGAUGCAGCAACGCCGCGUGGAGGAUGACGGCCCUUGGGUUGUAAACUCCUUUUUUCAGGGAAGAGUGAGGACGGUACCUGAAGAAUAAGUCACGGCUAACUACGU